GUGUCAGCCGCCGCGGUAAGACAGAGGGUGCAAACGUUGCUCGGAAUUACUGGGCGUAAAGCGCAUGUAGGCGGACGUGCAAGUCAGGCGUGAAAUCCCCGGGCUCAACCCGGGAAUCGCACUUGAAACUGCUCGUCUUGAGUACCGGAGAGGAUAGUGGAAUUCCUGGUGUAGAGGUGAAAUUCGUAGAUAUCAGGAGGAACACCGGUGGCGAAGGCGGCUAUCUGGACGGUCACUGACGCUGAGAUGCGAAAGCGUGGGGAGCAAACAGGAUUAGAAACCCCAGUAGUCC
rnacentral:rRNA from 1 species